GACGAACCGAGCGAACGUUAAUCGGAAUUACUGGGCGUAAAGCGUGCGUAGACGGUUAUUUAAGUCAGGUGUGAAAGCCCCGAGCUCAACCUGGGAAUUGCAUUUGAGACUGAAUAGCUAGGGUGCGGAAGAGGGAAGCGGAAUUUCCGGUGUAGCGGUGAAAUGCGUAGAUAUCGGAAGGAACACCAGUGGCGAAAGCGGCUUCCUGGUCCAGCACCGACGUUCAGGCACGAAAGCGUGGGGAGCAAACAGG
rnacentral:rRNA from 1 species